rnacentral:rRNA from 1 species
GACCUGCGGAGGGAUCAUUACACAAAUAUGAAGGCGGGCUGGAACCUCUCGGGGUUACAGCCUUGCUGAAUUAUUCACCCUUGUCUUUUGCGUACUUCUUGUUUCCUUGGUGGGUUCGCCCACCACUAGGACAAACAUAAACCUUUUGUAAUUGCAAUCAGCGUCAGUAACAAAUUAAUAAUUACAACUUUCAACAACGGAUCUCUUGGUUCUGGCAUCGAUGAAGAACGCAGCGAAAUGCGAUAAGUAGUGUGAAUUGCAGAAUUCAGUGAAUCAUCGAAUCUUUGAACGCACAUUGCGCCCUUUGGUAUUCCAAAGGGCAUGCCUGUUCGAGCGUCAUUUGUACCCUCAAGCUUUGCUUGGUGUUGGGCGUCUUGUCUCUAGCUUUGCUGGAGACUCGCCUUAAAGUAAUUGGCAGCCGGCCUACUGGUUUCGGAGCGCAGCACAAGUCGCACUCUCUAUCAGCAAAGGUCUAGCAUCCACUAAGCCUUUUUUUCAACUUUUGACCUCGGAUCAGGUAGGGAUACCCGCUGAACUUAAGCAUA